UGAAACUUCAACCUCUCCAACUCCCGGAUUCACAUGAAAUCAAGCAUGAAUUUCAUUCUAUCCAUGAUCAUCGUGGCAAACUCCACACUCAUGAGCCAUUGGUUGGCCAUGGGUAUGGAAAAUUCAAGUCCAAAUCAGAUGAACAUCCAACCCUAAUUUGAAAAUUAAAUCCCAAUGGUGCAAUAAUAGAGGUUCAAAGGUUAGGGGAAAUUUUC
rnacentral:lncRNA from 1 species